rnacentral:misc_RNA from 1 species
UUAACUAUUGUAUAGUUUUCUCAGACUGCAAUAAUUCAAGAGUUUGGAUCCUCUGGCAGGCGCGAGUCCAGCCUAAGCCGGGAGGCCUGCCAAAGCAACAAAGUUCGGUAUGCAAAGGGGUGAGAAUAGGGCUGUGAAGCCUUGUAUUCUUUAAUGAUCCUUCCGCAGGUUCACCUACGGAAA